UGUUGGGGUAACGGCCCAACAAGCCAUUGAUCAGUACGGGUUGUGGGAGCAAGAGCCCGGAGAUGGAUUCUGAGACACGAAUCCAGGCCCUACGGGGCGCAGCAGGCGCGAAAACUUUACAAUGCGGGCAACCGUGAUAAGGGAACCUCGAGUGCCUGUAUAUGCAGGCUGUCUGGGUGUCUAAAACACACCUAAAGAAAGGGCCGGGCAAGACCGGUGCCAGCCGCCGCGGUAAUACCGGCGGCUCGAGUGGUGGCCACUUUUAUUGGGCUUAAAGCGUUCGUAGCUGGGUUAUUAAGUCCCUUGGGAAAUCCGACGGCUUAACCGUCGGGCGUCUAAGGGAUACUGGCAAUCUUGGAACCGGGAGAGGUGAGGGGUACUUCGGGGGUAGGAGUGAAAUCCUGUAAUCCUCGAGGGACCACCUGUGGCGAAGGCGCCUCACCAGAACGGCUUCGACAGUGAGGGACGAAAGCUGGGGGAGCAAACCGGAUUAGAU
rnacentral:rRNA from 1 species